rnacentral:misc_RNA from 1 species
GAUUAAGAACGUAGCAAAAUGCGAUAAGUAAUGUGAAUUGCAGAAUUCAGUGAAUCAUCGAAUCUUUGAACGCACAUUGCGCCCGCCAGUAUUCUGGCGGGCAUGCCUGUUCGAGCGUCAUUUCAACCCUCAAGCCCCCGGGUUUGGUGUUGGGGAUCGGGCUGUACUCCAGCCCGGCCCCGAAAUCUAGUGGCGGUCUCGCUGCAGCCUCCAUUGCGUAGUAGCUAACACCUCGCAACUGGAACGCGGCGCGGCCAAGCCGUUAAACCCCCAACUUCUGAAUGUUGACCUCGGAUCAGGUAGGAAUACCCGCUGAACUUAAGCAUAUCAAUAAGCGGAGGA